rnacentral:rRNA from 1 species
GACGAACGCUGGCGGCGUGCUUAACACAUGCAAGUCGAACGGAAAGGCCCUGCUCUUGUGGGGUGCUCGAGUGGCGAACGGGUGAGUAACACGUGAGUAACCUGCCCUUGACUUUGGGAUAACUUCAGGAAACUGGGGCUAAUACCGGACAGGAGCUCCUGCUGCUUGGUGGGGGUUGGAAAGUUUCGGCGGUUGGGGAUGUACUCGCGGCUUAUCAGCUUGCUGGUGGGGUAGUGGCUUACCAAGGCUUUGACGGGUAGCCGGCCUGAGAGGGUGACCGGCCACAUUGGGACUGUGAUACGGCCCAGACUGCUACGGGAGGCAGCAGUGGGGAAUAUUGCACAAUGGGCGGAAGCCUGAUGCAGCAACGCCGCGUGCGGGAUGACGGCCUUCGGGUUGUAAACCGCUUUCGCCUGGGACGAAGCGUGGGUGACGGUAAUGGGUUAAGAAGCACCGGCUAACUACGUG